rnacentral:sRNA from 1 species
GCAGGAGGUUCGACCCGAGCGAAGCGAGAGAACGUUGCGUCAGCAACGGCCCGCAGGGCGAGCCACGCAGUGGCGAGUCAUCCUCUAUCACCGACCA